CUUACAAGCUGACACACACACAGGGAAGAUGUCAGACUGUCCGAGAGUUUCAGUCACUAGCCUGCCAACCUCUGGCAGCGCAUCAGAAAAGUCUGUCGUUUGUUAGGCCGCCCAUCCUUACAGUUCGGAUCUGACUUCUCUGCACUCACCACACCAAUUACUCACCAACCAUCCGUUCAUCUCCCUGGCUUCAUUCCUGGGAGUCUGCUGCUGGAGUACAGGAGGUAAUGCUGGAAUUCCCAGAGCAAAUUACAAAGCUGCCACUCUGAUGGAGGUUUCACUCUGUCUAAAUCUGGGGAACUCCAAUUCUGCAGAGUAAUUGUGGAAACCAAGAAAGUCUCGGCUGAACAGAGAGCAAGCAGCAAACUUCGGGGCUGAAAAAUGAAGCCAACGUGGAAGUGCCAAAAACUGCCGUUCCUCAAACGGACACUUGAGGCUGACUCCAAAAUAUGCAUCAAAGCUUCAACCACUCAGAUGCAUCCCAGCACAUUUCUGCACUCCACGUGCUGCUACAGCACAGCAAAGCAGAGCAGAGCAGAGAGACGGGUGUGUUGCUGGGGAUCAUUUGCCACUCUGAGACUCGGCUUAGCUGAGGGGCUUGGCAGGCCCUGCCUCUGACAACCACAUUGUUUAAAGCUUCAGGAGAUUAGCUGAGCCACAACCGCUGCCAGGCACUGAUAUGACUGCUGCCGAAUUCACAGCAGGGCCGUUGAAUUGAAGUUGCGUCUGGGUCUCUGGAGGCGGCCUCUUGCUGUGACAGGCAGGUGUGUUUAUUCCAGCUGAGAAGUGGGAACAGUAGGCGGCGGAAGCGGCUGUUCACGACGACUGAAAACAUCUGCAGUGCUGUUAGAGCUUUGUGGGGGGUGGGGGCAGAGGUUAGGGCCCUCCAGCGAUGCCUCCACCCUCAAGGCAAUCUCAUUUUAAAAGGUUCUCAUUACCCCCGGGCCGCUGCACUCAGGUAUACCGUAAAUCCUUCGCAUCCAAUUUAUUCUGGAGUGGGCUGACAUGGAGCCUUCACACCAACUAAUAGCCCUCCACGACUUCUAACCUCACUCUCACACACAGGGCUAAUCCACUGACUACAAUAGCAGACAGCUGAAAAUUACUGCUCAUCAAAUUAAUUAAUAUUAAUAGGGUGUCAUGUUCAUUAUCUGGAUAGUAAAUUAAUUUCCCAAUCUCCACUAAAGCAACAUAUCACGUCGUCUGCUCUAUUUUGUAAUGAUGCUGAUGGUUUUAUUUUACUUUACUUUCAAUACCCUUUAAAUUGUUAUUGUCUAUAAAACUGAGUUUAAAACGA